GAUGAAGAACGUAGCGAAAUGCGAUAAGUAAUGUGAAUUGCAGAAUUCAGUGAAUCACCGAAUCUUUGAACGCACCUUGCACCCUUUGGCAUUCCGAAGGGUAUGCUCGUUUGAGUGUCAUUGUACUCUCACACUUCCAAUCUUUGGAUUGGGAGCGGUGGACUUGGGUGUUGCUGCUUACUGUGGCUCACCUCAAAUCGAUUCGUGCACCUCUUGGUUGGACAUAGUACGGCGUGAUAAGUGUCUUCGCCGGCACCUCAGUAGAGGGUGGCUGAUCAGGAGCUCUGUGCUUCAAACCGUCCUCGGACAACAACUGACAACUUGACCUCAAAUCGAGUAGGACUACCCGCUGAACUUAAGCAUAUCAAUAAGCGGAGG
rnacentral:misc_RNA from 1 species